rnacentral:rRNA from 1 species
GACGAACGCUGGCGGCGUGCUUAACACAUGCAAGUCGAGCGGAGCGGCGAACGGGUGAGUAACGCGUGAGUACCUGCCCCCCUCUCUGGGAUAACAGUUGGACACGGCUGCUAAUACCGGAUAGUGGGGGAUGACUCGGGUCAAAUCAGCUUGUUGGUGGGGUAGUGGCCUACCAAGGCGACGACGGGUGGCCGGCCUGAGAGGGCGACCGGCCACAUAGGGUUGGGAUACGGCCCAAACUCCUACGGGAGGCAGUAGUGGGGGAUAGUGCACGAUGGGGGAAACCCUGAUGCAGAAACGCCGCGUGCGGGAUGUCGGCCUUCGGGUUGUAAACCGCUUUCAGCCAUGACGCGGUAGUGGCAGAAGAAGCACCGGCUAACUACGUGCCAGCAGCCGCGGUAAUUC